AAACAGCCCUGAUGGGAGCGGUAUUCGUUUUUGGGGAGACGUAACGAGUUUAUGGAACAAGGUUCCUCAAAAGUAUAGAGUAGGAAGCAGGACCGGAG
rnacentral:sRNA from 1 species